rnacentral:rRNA from 1 species
GUCCACAGCCAUGCUACACUGAACAAGACUGAUGUCUAAUCUCAGAAGCUAAGCGGGUCAGGCCUGGUUAGUACUUAGAUGGAAGACCACCUAGGAAGACCAGGUGCUGUAGGCA